rnacentral:rRNA from 1 species
AACUAACGCUGGCGGCGCGUCUUAAACAUGCAAGUCAAACGGCUAGCAAUAGCAGUGGCGAACGGGUGAGUAAUACAUGGAUAAUCUACCUUUAAGUUGGGGAUAACUCAGAGAAAUUUGGGCUAAUACCGAAUGUGACGGUUUGACAUAGGUCAGAUUGGUUAAAGCAGCAAUGCGCUUGAAGAUGGGUCCAUGGCUGA